AUUGCUUUGAAAAGAUACUAAACCUACAGAAACAGGAAGACAUUUUAUAGAUGUAAGAUUGAUUUUUUUUCACUCCUUAAAAUUUCUGUAUUUUCAAGUUUGUCAUGCAUGUUCACUUUAAAACAGUUUUCUUGUCCCAUUAACUGUGCUUUGGUGAGAGCAUCUGACCUCUGCAACAUACCCUACAGGGAAUUCCAUGGGCAAGUUAACAAAAAAUAAUAUCCAAGUGAGACCUGAAGUCACCCUUGUCACAUUCUUCAUUACUUCCUAUGCUAGGGGAAAAAACCCCAAAACCCAACCAAUCUUAUGGAUGCUAGAUACCUGCCACAUUAGUUAGAAAGUAAAACCACCAGGAAAAAAUAUCGGUGCUUUGUGGUGCACAGGGCAUUCACAAUAUUAAUUUCAAUUAAUUUCACUUCACCACCAAAUUUAGCAGGGUGCCAAGCAACAGCCUUCAAAGUUUGUGUGACUCUGUAGCUGAAACUGAAUUAAGGUCCAAAUUUCAUAGAGUGGUAAAAAAUAGUUAACUGCAAAGGGUUGACAGAUUACUAUGCAUUCUUCCCCAAAACCCAAAUAUAAAGCUGAUUUACUACAAGAUUAUUUCCUGUCAAAUUAAGGAACAUUUUUUUCCAGCUUGGUUGGCAUUUUAUAACACUUAGAUGACAAGCUAACUGUCUGAUCUCAAAUUAAAUCAGCAGACUUGUGACAUUAUAACUGUUCUCUUAAAAAGGAUUGUGCAUGGAGAGGAAAGGAAAAACAACAGCAACGAUUUUAAUGAGAUUUCCAUCUAGACUCUGAAAGUAUUCCCUGGUAAGAUACUAGCUCACCCUUUCCUGAAUAAAAUGAAACUCUAAGAGAUGUCAUCAGGAUACCUGAGACUGUUUUUUACCCUGUGGAAAAACAAAAGCUCAAUAGCAUUUAUAUUCCUCAAAGAAAUAACUUACCUUUGAAAAUUUGACUCACAAUAGCCAAAAGCUCAGAUGACUAACUUACAGUUCCAAGAACAUGUCCUCUGCUCUUAAAUAUCAAUCACAAAGUGCAAUGUAGCCAUCAAUAUUUAAGACCUUCACCACUGGGAAAUAGAGAGCCACUUGGAUACUCUUCCUCAAAAUUUAUUGUCACAUUCCAAAAUGAUAGAUGAGAUGUCCUCCAAAGUUUUGUCCCAUGUAAUUGUCUUGAUUGUCUUUUGAAUUACAUGAAAUUAUGUUCUCUAAGAUAGAAACUUUCUGAUGAUAAGAAAAAAAAAAGGAAUCAAUUUUUAUGAAACAGCUUUUUUUGCCCCCCCUAUGCCAAUGUGCUGGCAUCAAAUUCAUGAGGCUCUUGAAUCCAGUGCAGGAAGAAACAUCUCUAAGGGUCACUGUUGACACUCUUCCCAUGUUCCCAAUUUCCCCUGUCCCCAUGAAUAAUUGUUAUCUCUAUUGCUCACUGAAAUUGUCUUAAGGGAUGAUUCCAGUUUCUGGCUUUUCCUGUGUUCUUCCUUACUCAACAUGAGCUUCCUCCUGUUGCAUGUGUGCUGCAAUUGAAAGCAGAAUGUAGGUUAACCACAAAAAUUGCUUUGUUUUGAUUUUUUGCUGAUAAUUUGGUGAUACUUUCAUGAAGAUGCCAUCUUUCCUUUUGCAUCUCUCAUUCGAUAAACUUAUUUAAUGCGGGAAGCCUUUCAUUGCUUUCUGUGCCAAAUGUUAAUCAUAUUUAUUGAGAAAUUAUAGAACUCCUUCUAUAAUUUUUCACAAAUUGUGAAAUAUAAAUAUCUGUGUAAUUUAAAUAUCAUCAUCUUAAUGAUUUACAGGGACUCUCAGAAUGAAGUGAAGGUUUAUAAUGAAGAUACCAUUCCUUCUCUAUGCUCUCCUUCUUUCCAUUCAAGGAACUAACUAGUAGGAAAUUCAAAACUUUCUAAUGAGUAAACUGAUCCAAAGAGCCUAUGGCUUGGUAAAAGUGGAAUAGCAAACACUUAAAAGGUCACAGUUUAGCAAUAUUAUGCUGUACUUAAAAAGGAAUGAUCUGUAUUCAUUUCAAAUCCUCAAAUAAAAUUCAACACAGAUCCUUCCUUAAUAUAGAAGUGUGAUAUUUUUCUUAAAAAUGCAAUUUAAACUGCAUUUUAGAUCUAUAUUUGAAAAUUUGCAUUAGAUAUUAAAGUGCACAGGCCUUUUUUGACAUGAAGCAGACUCUCAUUUCUGAUUGGGAAAAGCUGUUAAAGGUUGAUAAGUGAAAUGGCUGAGUAAGUAGGAAGGUUUAUCCAGAAGAAAACCAUAUGCUCCAAUGACUAUAAAUCUCAUUAAGAGGUUACGACAACUGUCUUCUUUUGAUCUAGUUCAGCACAGAGGUGGGAGUAACCAAAUACUGAAGAAAAGGAAAAGCCAAUUUUUCUGUUCUUUAUAUGAAUCCUGGGAGCUCCAGUGAUGUUACAAGCACAUUACAAUAAAAUUAAAAUACUGCCAGCACAUAACAUAAACCUAGACUGAAUUAUAUAUUGACUAAACAAAACAUUUAAAACUAUCUUGUUGGCAUCUUCUGUUAGACGCAAAUAAAUAAUGUAUAAAAUUACCAAUUUUUCUUCUUCACAGAACUUAUAGAAAAAUGUACUUUUUCAUUUAGCUUGGAUCAACUUGUGCACAACUUUGUGCUUCUUUCAGCUCCUGUAAUUUGUUGCAGAAUGUUUCAAAACAUUGCAUUCUAUGCCUUCCCUCCACAUCCCCGGUUCAACUUUCUUUUUUUUAUUAGCUGGAAUAGCACAGCUUAUUACAUGUUCAAUCAAUCAAUCAAUCAAUCAAUCUCCUUGGAAUUCCCAUCCUUUGACCAGGAUCUUUUUUGCACCUGCUCCUGCAGUCUAGUCUAUGAAAUUUCAGCAAAUGUCACUGUCAAACACCCUAAUAACAUGCUCAUGGCAGGCAACAUGUGCACUGGUAUUAAUUAGUCAAGACCAUUCACUUUCUUUGUCACAUGAACUGUGUUGCUUCUUCUCUUUUUUCUUGUAUCUGAAUCAGUGGUUGCAAUCCCAUCAUGCUGUGGCUGCUUUCUGCAGAUCAUCCAGACACCAGGUGUAACGAUGUCUCCAUCUUUUUUUGGCAGAGAAGAUUUGGUUUUAUGCUUGCUAUGCUCGAAUGUUUUGGCCAGUGAAGUCAGCCAAUCCAUGCUGCAGAUUUGACAAUGUUCUGAGUACAAGCAACCAGAAAUUUCAAAUCUUCUAAGGCAAGAAGGAAAGCUCCCUAUAAUUAUGUAAACAUGUCUGCUGUGCUGUGCUAGUCACAGCUGCACACCACCACAUUUUGCAGAAUGGUUUAUUAGACUCACUUUUAUUGCUGCAAUGCAAUUGGAGAUAAAUAGGCUUUACUCCCAGCUAGAGGAUACUGCUCAAAUAGCAGACAAAAACUUCAUGUAUAAUUCUCACAUGAACACAUGUUAUGUGAGGAAUUCAUGUGCACAGAUAAAUUUGGGAUCAGAAGAAGGAAUGGUUUAUGUGCUGGACGUCAGUGGCAGAAACAGGCACAUUCAGUCUGUGUGAGGAGCCUUUUCUAGAAUAAACAAAAGAAUAAUUCACACCAUUACUGAGCAUAUUAUCAAUGAACCUGAGAAACUAAAUUUGAACCUUUCUAAACAUUUUGUUUCUCGCUUACCCUACAGUCGGCAGCCCCUGGGGAACUGAAAAACCUGAGCAACUGUACCUGAAGAAAAGGGGAAGAGUAUCAGAAAUGGGACUAUUCAACCAAAAGUUUGCUCCCAGCUCAAGUUAAAUUCAGAAAGUCAUCCUUUUCCCACACACGUGUGCUCAAGUCUAGAGAAUUCCAUGUUGGGGAGUUAAGUUUGAAUGUGUUCUUUACCUGCCAUCCAGUCCAAGGUUGUCAGCACCAUGAAAGCAAUAAAUCACAUCAAUCUCUGGUACAGAAUCUCUUCUAUUCUACUUAUUGCAGAUGUGACAUCAUUGCCUAUCUGCCCCGGAUGAAAUGUCAUCAGCUUCAGGCCAUCACUUAUCCCAUCCAGUUCAAAUCAUAAAAUUAAAAUUACUGCAUAUAGAAUUCAGGCAUUUCAGGCACAGAAUAAACAAACCAACCCCCCCCCCCCCACCCAUGCCCAAAAAAAAGACUAUUUCGCACAAUUCUAUUUCUUAGAGAAUUCUGUAUUUGCUACCACUCUUGAUCUAUACAAUACAAACUUAAAUUGGCCUGUGUUUCACCUAAAUUCCAGGCUCUGUGAUGCUUUCAAGUAUCAGUAUGACUUCCAUAUUUGAAAUUUUGUAUUUCAUAAUACUUAGAUACAUAUUUUUAAUAGAGUUGUAGUAAUAAUUUUUUCCCUCAUGUAAAUGUAAACAAAUUAUAAUUGAAAACAAAUCGUGAUUUAAGCAAGAAAAAAAAAAUCUGUGUCCUAAUUUAUGAUCAUGAUAAAAGUAUUUGAUUUUUUUAGCUUCUAGUGAUUUCACAGCCCAUGUUGCUUGAAGGUUGUGAUCCUUGCUCAGAAAAAAAUUUGGACUUUAGGCAACCAUAGAAAUGAAUAUAUUUUUCAUCCAUGUGGUUUUGUUCAAUUCUUCCACACUAUCUUGUUAAGCUGCUUCUUACAAAGCUCUACAUUAAAGAGUAGCUUUUUUGCAUUUCUCAAUUCUCCUGACCAAAAGCAGAUGCAAAGACUUGUCAUGUAAAGAUUCUUUUGCCUUUUGAUAAUUUUAUUAAUGAUAAGUUUGUAUGUUGUAGAGGGAAUACUCUACUAGAGCCUAAUUCUGUUAUAAAUAUUCAUUACCAGACGUACGUGGUCUUCAAUUUCCUUUUGCUUACCCCUUGGCAAGAAUUUGUAAUCAACAGUCUCUGGAAUCUUCCUUCUCAUAAGAGUGUAAUCUGGAGAUUUUCCAGGUACAUCAAAACUGAAUGUGUAAAGUCCAUUGCUGAUAUCUUGAACAGCAGAGGCAGGAAUGAUAACACUGAGGCAGAACUACAACAUCCUGAUUGCAGCAACUGGAAAUUAAUUUCUAAAUCUCUCAGUUAUUCCUUAUGACGAAUGUAUAAUUUUAUAAAUAACUGACCCACUUUACCAUGACAAGAGCUAUAUGUCUGAGAACUGUUUAUCCAGAAGGUUGAGAAGUUCCUUACCUUGAUGCAACAUGUGAUUUACCAGAUGUUUUGUAGGGAAGACAACCAUGCUGAUAAAAACAAAUUGCACUACGAGCCAACUUUUAGUGAACUGAUUUGGAUUUUAUGUUAACCUUAGGAUGGACUGAUUCUAUCACUCUCUGGCUUAUCCCAAUAACACAGCUGGGAAAGGGAAUUGGACAUUGUUGAUGGAAGAGAAUUUAUAUGCAAACGUGCUGGAAUUUUCCAAGCCAUGGGAUGAAAAAAUGUUAUAGGAGGAUAACCUGUGCAAAAGAGGAGCCAUGUGUUUUGAGUGACAGAACAAUGUAUCUCCCCUGAUGGAGUAGGGAAUCUCUGGUACAGCCCCUCCCUGGAAUCUAAUGCAGACUGUGAAUCUCCCAGCAUCUUUGAGAGAAAGCAUCAGUCAUGUAAAUGGCCCCUGCAUCAGUGUUCCUGCAAGGCUUUGUAAGAGUUUAUUCAAUUAUGGUACAAUAUUUUUUCCAAUUAGGGGAAUGUCCAUUAUUUUUCUUUAUUUUAAUAAAAAAUAGUUGAGCCUUUCAAACUAAGAAUAACUACAAAAAAAGCUACUUAAGACUUAGACAUGUAAAUUCAAAAGACAAUAUAUCAGAAAUAGUAAGUAAAAUAAUUUAUUAACAAUUUGAUAAUUUAAUAACAAGUAAAAUAAUUGAAGGCAUGUUAGAUUAGAAUAAAAAUGUUUACAGAACUGUAAAAUUAAGUUUCCUUAUAAAGGCUAUAGCAUAGUUGGUGUGUGUUAUACAGAGGAUUGGUAAUGAAACACCAGAGAAUAACAUUCAGUAAUGAUCUCCAUCAUAGACUGAAACUGCCUUAACUGCUGAGCUUUAGUAUAAACAAAUAAACUGGAAAAAAAUUUAAAAACUGACUUGAAAUGCCUGAGUCUCACAGACUGAUUAUUGUUUAGUUUAAGCUAUAAUGAACAGUAAACUAUGGACAUGCUGUUUACUUUUAGAGAUGUUAGUAUGCCAGAGACAGAAAUUAGGCAGCUUUUUAGCUUAGAGCUAGCUGACAAAGCCUGUUAAAUUGUUGUAAAAAUUCAACUUUGAUAUCAUACACUAACCAAGUCCAGAAUGAUGGGGUAUUUCAUAGGUAAAACACAAUAAAAUGUUACAUGUAAUAUUCUGGCACUUAUUUGUUUCAGCAGUGUUUCUUUCUUCUAAAUUCUGCUGAUUUAGUAAUUACAGAAACAAUCAACAAGCCUUUUGUCCAUAGGUCUCCUAUGAAGCUAAUGAGCUUAGCAGGAAUCAUGAUAAAAGCCAGCAUCAUAGCACUGGACUGACGCAGCUCUGCAUCAAGGGGACCUCCUUUCAAGACCAGAAAAUAGGCUGGCAUCUUUUUGGCUGUCAUUUUGGGGAAACUGCCUGAUACAACACCUUGGGUGUCAUCUAGAGAUGACUGUGAAUACAGUUUUACUGUACAGAUAAAUUUUCCAAAUUUUUCACUACUGUCCAAAUUUUCCACGGUUGUCACUGAACAAGUUUUGCAAUAAUAUCAAUCAAAGUUUACAGGACAACCUCUGCUCUGCAUUGCUUUGUUCAGUUUGGUAGGGAUUUCCCUAACAGCUCAAGCAAAAUGUAAUCAAGGAUACAAAGAGGCUCUAUCACCUCUUUGUGACCCAGCUUCAAACAGAAAAACAUUAUUUAAAUAAAUGGGUGGUGCUCCAGAACUUUCUGGUGAGGAAAGGGGAUCUCUUGGAAGCUAUCAUGAGCCACAGUUAAGCAAAUGGGAGCAGAGACUGCACUUUCCCCCAGUAUAUCAGCUGUUAGCUCUCUGUCUGUAGCUUUGUUUUUCUAAGAAGGAAGCAGUUGAAAAUCUGAAAAGGACAAAAUGAUAAGUGUUCACAGAAGUCACAGAAUGAGAAGAAAAUUCUGUUCCUCAAAUAAGUUCAGGCCUGAAAUCAUUUGGUGGUAAGCAAAAAACCAAAAGCUAUUGGAAAUGAGACUGCACACACAGAUGGAAGCCACAUCCAGGCAAGUCGGAAGUUUCUGAUGGAAUUGACAGAUAUUAAGGUAACCUACAUGUUAAACUUCACAGAUUCAUGUUAUAUGUGGUUUAGACUGACCUCAUUUUAGAUACCUAAACUGUAGAUUUUUUACCUCUGACCUCAUUGCUGGAGGUUCUUCUUGUAAUUGACAGUAUGAAGGAGGUAUAUAGGUAGUUUUAGGGCAUGUUUCAUCUUAGCUGCUCUUGCCUUAGAUGAAUCUCAUUUUACAAAUGCAUAUUUCAUUUCUCUCAUUAAAAAUUAAUUUUAGGCCACCAGUUCAGUCACAAAGCCAGAUCCACAUUUUAGUCAGUCACAUCAGAUCAAAUGUGGAGCUGGAAAUGCCAGUGUCCCAAACCACAAAUAUCUUAGAACAAAGAAUCUGAAAAGCUUCUAGAUCAUGGGGGAAAAAGGAAAGCAUGAGAACGUCUAACAGCUAAAAAUCAUCAGCCACUUAGUAUGCUAUGAGGAAGCCAACAGAUAUUGAAUUUGGACUUGUUACUAUGACUUCAUGCAACAUCAAGUCAUGAUUAAAGCAGGCUAUGAGGGAGCUGUUAUGCUGUAUUACCCUGGCAUAGCACUUCAAGGAAAAAGAGAUGGUAAAUCACAAAUCAUUGACUGGUCUACUUGAACAACCUUCACCACUUCAGACAUUGUAAGAAAGCCAAAUGGUGACACGAGGCCGUACACUGACGUUAAGAAAUAGUCCAUAAAUAAUCUCUCUCAUGUUUACAGCACAAUAGUUAAAAACAGGAAGAAAAACUGUAGCAGUUUAAACUUUUCAUACAAUACCAUUUUCAACACACCUGAGCAUGUAAUGAAAUGCCUCCUGGUUGUCUCAGUUCUGCAAGAGCCUUUUAGAUUCAUUAAAGUGUUGAAGACAUUUCAGACUUAAUAAAUGGCCCUCAUUUAAGAUGUGAGAAUUAAAGACAAGCAGUGAGGUAACUGUCUUUAAUUCCACAGGACACAUAAGAAAUAGUUGGUAAGAGGGUAAACAGCAGCUGCAUAACCAAACAGGACUGGAAAGAACAGUCUGGCUCACCACAUCCAGUCUCAUCUCCUCAACUUACAAAUCUCCAUCUAAAGAAAAUUUCUUUUUCAUCCCGACCCCUUACCAAAAGUCUACUGCAGAACCAUCAUCAAACCUUUAAACCAAAGAAUUUUUUUUUUGGUCAUAAUUAACAGAGGAAUUUCUGCAGUUUAUCUGACCACCUUGCCUUCCAUGUCAGCUUGUAUGUCGCAGCAAACCUUUUACUCAGUGCAGCUUCCUCUUCAGAAUGCUUCUUUGAAGUAUUGUUUCUUUGGCUGAAAGAGAAUACCUAUGUGUUGGUUUUCGCUGGGGUAGGGUUAAUUUUCUCCACAGCAGCUAGCAUGGGGCUAUAUUUUGGGUUUGUGUUGGAAAUAGAGGGAUCUGUGCUUGAUAACACAGGGAUGCUUCAGCAAUAAGUGAGCAGUGCUUACACAGGGUCAAGGCCUUCUCCCCAUCUUCACACCAAAGGAAUAUGUGAUAAGAAGCAUAAUAUUAAUAAUUUUUACUUCUUUUUUAAAUUAUAGCUAUGAUAUAUAACUUAUCAGAAAUGACAACUGAGUGGCCAUCAAAGUUUUGCAAUUGUCCCUAACAGUGUUCCCUUCUCUUCUGAAUAGCUGGAGUCACACAUUGCAAAAUCUCCCUCACUGCCAGAAUUCUGCCAAGAGUUAACUUUAUCAUCUCUGAAUGCUCAGUCUCAUAUAAAUAUCUAUAUUUUCAUUAUAUUCCCAGAAAGGUUUACUGUUCAUUAUUUGCUGUAGUUCCACUGAAAAUCCUUUGGUUAACCACUAGGGAAGAGAAACGACACUGAGGAGUUAGAUGUGCAAUAAGGCUUUAAGGAGACAGAUUAAAGUCAGCAGAAAGAUGAGGAGUUAGGUCUUGAAAUGAGAAAGUUGAGAUUUUGAGGUGUGAGGGUGUAAAGGCUGAAUGUUGCCCAGGAGAUGGAAAACCACAUUAAAAAAGAUUUGUCUGCUGUACCUCACUGAAAAAAUUUGUUAGCAUAAUAGUGGAGGAAAAUUGCAAAUUGAGUGAGUAAUAAACACUGAUGCUUGAACACAAAAGGCAAAUGCACAAUCAAUAUUUAUUUGCAAGCACAUAUGGGCAGAAGCAAUUGUUACCCCUCAGUCACAUUAAGUGUAAAUGGAUCUUGCAAUAAUUGGGUUUUGCCAUUGUUCUGGUCAAACUAUUCUGGAAAGCAGCUGAACUUAAACAUGUGUGACUGCAGUGAAGCAAUUUACCAAACUUGGAGAAAAGGCCUUCAGGAGGAUCUGCCUGUGCUAUAACCAAAUCACCACAAGGAAAAUACAUCCACAACCUACACUUAGGCAAAACCUGACUAAACAAAAGAGGCAUUCAAAAACUUAGCACAUUUAAAAGCAUGAGCUCUGCUCUAACAUUUCAGCUUGCCCUAGUGUGGACUUGGACUUUAUUUAUUGAAAUAAUUCCAACAUAUGACUUCACACUGCUACAUUUAUUAUUUGAAAGGUUUAUAGCAAGGCCCAUUUGGUCUAUGUGAGUUCAAAAAGAGAAGAACUUUGUCUGAGACACCCACACAGGUCAAUAUGAGAACUCCUUGAAGGUGUCCUUCACAUAAAAUGUACAUGCCCAAAAAGAUCAAGUGGCUGCUGCUACUGGGCAUUGCAUCCCAGGUUUAAUCUGUUGGCUAUCUUAAUUAUUUCCUUCUGUAUUUACUUCAUAAAAGAAAUGGCUAAAAGCCUAUAUGUGGUGAAACUCCACCUGUUACUUGUGGAUACAGAAAGGCUCCAGAGAAAAAUGUGGGGGUAGAAAAUACAGAAGCAAUUAUUUUAGCCACGACAAAAGCAGAUUUUACUUACUACUUUUUCCUCCUCUAAAUAAUUCAGCAACUGGGAGAUUUCAUGUCAGUGAUUUCAUUAUAAGAAUGAAAUUAUUUCACAACCCCCAUUCCUUUCACAAUUGACACAGGUUCAGCUCCUCAGAGAGACUCUUAAAUUCUUAAAUGUCAACACUAGUGCUAAUAACCAUCAGCCCCUUCACUUUCUUGCUUAAAUUUCCUUAGCACAUGGAAGAAUGGAUCCUUUAGUAUCUGGAUUACUGCAUUUCUAAAGAGAAUGGAAAGUGAGCUACACUGUAACUAACUGGGCAUAAUGAGCUUUUACUGGGAUACAGAAGCUGUUAAUAACCACAGUCUGUCUCCAUAAAUUAAAAACAAUACGUGGCCUCUUAUAGUUUUCCCUCGCUUGGUAUCUGUCUUGUUCAUACUUUAUGGUGGCUGUCAGUGCCUUUAUUGUACUAGAAGUGAAGAUUUCCCAAAUGGAAGAUGUAUUUCUAAGAAAAACUGCCACCACUGUACAGGUGAGAGAAAUGCUGUCCUUUAAUAAAUAUGAGCAAGAACUUUGAAUGAAUGUUUUAAUCUUUGCCCAAAAUAUUGAAAAUUGUCUUCCUGUAGCUUGGAGGAAAUAUUAAACCAGAAGGGCAGUUAACACACUUCCUGGGACUAAUAUGAAAAAAUAAUGAGAUAAAAUCAGGUAAAUUAUGUUAAAGACAGGAUAUGAAAAUGCAGGCAUAACAGUACACCUGCAAUAGCUAGCAAGAGGGAAGCAGAAGUAAAAGGUGUUCUGCAGCACAGCCCAUUGGCAGCAGCAUGCUGAGGGCACAUCUUCACCCUGUUAAUCUUUUCCAACCUGACUUUUAAAAGUAUAUAUCUUUUCCCCUGAAAAGUACAUUUCUGUAUUCUUGGACAGCUAUAUUUCCUCUCAGUGCUACAGGAGCUUUCCUACUUGUUCUCUCUGUGUUUCUAUAUGGCAGUGGCAUGUGCUCCCUUCCCUUCUCAGUCCAGCCAUGCACAGCAGUGGGCUCCAGAGACACAUUUUCUCUGUUCCUCUCCCGACUGGUGGUAGAACAGGCUGGAAAAUCUGCAUGCAAGCACAAAAAAAGGAUGGAAGGAAAGGGAGUGGAAAUGGCAGCACAAGUCCAGUUUUCAUGAAGAAAAUCACCUUCUUCAAGCAAAGUUUUAAUCCUCUGUCAAGCAACACUAAAAGGUUCCAGGCAUCAUGACUAAUAGUGGGGUGACUCUCCCUCUUACUGGCAUUGCACACACCACAGUACCUUCCAGGAGACCAAGUCCAACACCAGGAAAAGCUGUCCAUUGUCCUGUCUGUCUGCUUGAACUUAUGCUUUCAGAAAGUGAGAAACUUCUAUCAACUAAUUAGAGUUAGAUAUACAUUACUUCAUGUCAAAGCAUAUAUAGAGGAGGAAGUCAGUGAUCCCUAGUAUUGGUUUAUUGAAAGUGUUUUGUCCUUCCUGAAUUUCAGAAGCCUGAGCAUUCAUGGAACAGGAUAAAAUAGAUUUAUUUUUUUGUCUUUAAUAUACAACAUUUAUUGUUUUCCCCGUAAUGUAGAUCAGAGGAAAAUUAUGCAGCUGAUACUACAUAAAAAGAUGAAAUUGCUUCUUUAAUACCUCUUAGCAAUUUCUUUGGAAUUCUUCUGAUAUCCUGUUCUCUGAGAGAUAUAUGGGUCACUUCAGAAAGACUAAAUCCAAGCUCUAAGAGCUACACGUACUAAUUAGAUUUUUCAAUAAAUAAUUUAGCAAGCCUGUUUCAGUUGAGAGGUUUCAUUAAAUACUUGAAAAUAAUUUAAAAUUUUGUAUCUUUUUACAUCUGACACAGGUUUGUCUCCCCAGAGAUGUCUCUAGGUUUUUAAAUGCAAUUGCACUGUUAUUCCAAUAAACCAUUUGUAGCUAUUCUGCAUACAUUUGCUUUGUCAUAUUGAUUAUUUUAAUUCUUCUUUUUUAAAUUUUUUCUAGAGUUCAUUGGUAUUCACUCUUUAAAGAGGGAAACAUUAACUUGAGGCUUACAAAGGUCUGUCUUGCCUCUGGAAAUUUUUCUGCCAUGGGAUUAAUGAAAGUUACAAAUAAAAUAAUAUAAGAAGAACGCCGUAUUUUGCUAUUCCGCCCUCUUUCACAAAUUUUAUUUCCUCUCUUAAUUUGAAAUCACUUUUGCUUUGUAAUUAAGCAGAUUCUGUGUUCAAUAUUUUUCUUUCUUAUCACAAACAAGGCUUCAGUCUGUGAAAUCUGCAUGGGAGUAUAAGAAUGUUCCUGUUUUGUGGGUGGUGUUUGACGUCAUUACAGGGUCUUAUUAAUGGCUCCGUUGUACUUCUCUGAAUAAUUAAAUUCUGCUAAUGGCUGUAA